UGACCAGACUCCUACGGGAGGCAGCAGUGAGGAAUAUUGGUCAAUGGUCGGGAGACUGAACCAGCCAAGCCGCGUGAGGGAGGAAGGUACAGAGUAUCGUAAACCUCUUUUGUCAGGGAACAAAGACUGGGACGCGUCCCCGGAUGAGUGUACCUGAAGAAAAAGCAUCGGCUAACUCCGUGCCAGCAGCCGCGGUAAUACGGAGGAUGCGAGCGUUAUCCGGAUUUAUUGGGUUUAAAGGGUGCGUAGGCGGAAUGCCAAGUCAGCGGUAAAAUCGCGGGGCUCAACCUCGCUCCGCCGUUGAAACUGGCGCUCUUGAGUGGGCGAGAAGUAUGCGGAAUGCGUGGUGUAGCGGUGAAAUGCAUAGAUAUCACGCAGAACUCCGAUUGCGAAGGCAGCAUACCGGCGCCCAACUGACGCUGAAGCACGAAAGCGUGGGUAUCGAACAGGAUUAGAUACCCCGGUAGC
rnacentral:rRNA from 1 species